rnacentral:rRNA from 1 species
UNGGAAUUACUGGGCGUAAAGCGAGCGCAGACGGUUUAUUAAGCAAGAUGUGAANUCCCCGAGCUUAACUUGGGAACUGCGUUUUGAACUGGUAAGCUAGAGUAUGUCAGAGGGGGGUAGAAUUCCACGUGUAGCAGUGAAAUGCGUAGAGAUGUGGAGGAAUACCGAUGGCGAAGGCAGCCCCCUGGGAUAAUACUGACGUUCAUGCUNGAAAGCGUGGGUAGCAAACAGGAUUAGAUACCCUGGUAGUCCACGCCCUAAACGAUGUCAAUUAGCUGUUGGGGCACUUGAUGCCUUAGUAGCGAAGCUAACGCGUGAAAUUGACCGCCUGGGGAGUACGGUCGCAAGAUUAAAACUCAAAGGAAUUGACGGGGACCCGCACAAGCGGUGGAUGAUGUGGAUUAAUUCGAUGCAACGCGAAGAACCUUACCUGGUCUUGACAUGUACGGAAUCUUCCAGAGACGGAAGAGUGCCUUCGGGAGCCGUAACACAGGUGCCGCAUGGCUGUCGUCAGCUCGUGUCGUGAGAUGUUGGGUUAAGUCCCGCAACGAGCGCAACCCUUGUCAUUAGUUGCCACCAUUUAGUUGGGCACUCUAAUGAGACUGCCGGUGACAAACCGGAGGAAGGUGGGGAUGACGUCAAGUCCUCAUGGCCCUUAUGACCAGGGCUUCACACGUCAUACAAUGGUCGGUACAGAGGGUAGCCAAGCCGCGAGGUGGAGCCAAUCUCAGAAAACCGAUCGUAGUCCGGAUUGCACUCUGCAACUCGAGUGCAUGAAGUCGGAAUCGCUAGUAAUCGCAGGUCAGCAUACUGCGGUGAAUACGUUCCCGGGUCUUGUACACACCGCCCGUCACACCAUGGGAGUGGGGGAUACCAGAAGUAGGUAGGCUAACCGCAAGGNG